ACAAACUUGGUCAUUUAGAGGAAGUAAAAGUCGUAACAAGGUUUCCGUAGGUGAACCUGCGGAAGGAUCAUUAAUAAUUUGCUAAUGUCGAGGCUCACCCCUCGUGCAUUUUCAAACCCACUUGACCAACCUAAAAAACCAUUCAGCUUCGGUAGCAGGUCGGGCUUUGUUGCCCGCACCGUCAGCCUGCCGUUAGCGCCUUAUAACCAAACUUUUUUGAACAAAACCUUGUCUGAUAACCAAUCAUUUUCGAAUGAAAAUUAAAACUUUCAACAACGGAUCUCUUGGUUCCCGCAUCGAUGAAGAACGCAGC
rnacentral:misc_RNA from 1 species